rnacentral:rRNA from 1 species
AUUGAACGCUGGCGGCAUGCCUAACACAUGCAAGUCGAACGGUAACAGGCCCUUGGGGUGCUGACGAGUGGCGGAUGGGUGAGUAAUACUUAGGAAUCUACCCUGUAGUGGGGGACGAACCCGGGAAACGUCGGCGUAAUACCGCAUACGCUCUACGGAGGAAAGCGGGGGCCGGCAAGGCCUCGCGCUAUUGGAUGAGCCUAAGCCCGAUUAGCUAGUUGGUGGGGUAAUAGCCUACCAAGGCAAUGAUCGGUAGCUGGUCUGAGAGGACGACCAGCCACACUGGGACUGAGACACGGCCCAGACUCCUACGGGAGGCAGCAGUGGGGAAUAUUGGACAAUGGGCGAAAGACCUGAUCCAGCGAUGCCGCGUGUGUGAAG